rnacentral:rRNA from 1 species
UAAUAGCUCACCAAGGCAUCGACGGGUAGCUGGUCUGAGAGGACGAUCAGCCACACUGGGACUGAGACACGGCCAAUACUCCUACGGGAGGCAGCAGUGAGGAAUUUUGCGCAAUGGGGGAAACCCUGACGCAGCACCGCCGCGUGGAGGAUGAGGUACUUCGGUACGUAAACUCCUUUCGAUCGCGACGAUAAUGACGGUACCGAGAGAAGAAGCCCCGGCUAACUUCCUGCCAGCAGCCGCGGUAAUACGAGGGGGGCGAGCGUUGUUCGGAAUUAUUGGGCGUAAAGGGUGCGUAGGCGGUUUGGUAAGUCUCGUGUGAAAUCUAUGGGCUCAACUCAUAGUCUGCACGAGAAACUGCCGGGCUUGAGUGUGGGAGAGGUGAGUGGUAUUUUCCGGUGUAGCGGUGAAAUG